ACGUCUAUGGCGUGGAAUUAAUCCACCACCUAAUUAUCGCAGACACAUUUCGCCAAUUCGAGAGAUGGAUUAUGUAAAGGAAGCUGCAAUGACUUCGGAGGAUUAUGAGGCGGCUGCGUGUUUGUUGUUAUUGGCUAACAGUGAUGGUGUAUCGACAUUUGCCGAGACCAAAUGUGGAGGUGGCAAUGGCGGUGGGGAUGGUACUAGUCAUAGUAGUUUUCAUUUUCAGGAAGAUGUGAAUUGUCGUUUUGAGUGCUCGAGUUGCAAGAAGGUGUUUGGGUCCCAUCAGGCAUUAGGAGGUCACAG
rnacentral:misc_RNA from 1 species